GAACGAGGAACCGGAAGUGGUCUUCACAGUUGUCCUGUGAUAUAGCUCACAGCUGUGCCACUGGACUGGAAAUUAAGAAGGCCCUCCUGAAGAACUGAUGUUUCCUGAACAAAUAUAUACAGAAAUUGUACCACUCCAGAAGGCACAGAAAUCCAAUCUGAAACAAGAGGAAGCUGAGUCUUAAGGUUUCAUCAAAUGUCUCUCCUAACUCCCAGACUGGUUUGAACUUCUGAACAAAGGCCAGGAGAACAUUUAUAAAGACUCACCCAUCAAUUGCUAAAAAACUUGCAAUUUAAAAGUAACUGGGGAAAAAAGUAGAGAAAGGUCU